GCCUGUGUGGCUCAGUUGGUUGAGCAUCUGACUUCGGCUCAGGUCAUGAUCUCAUGGCUCGUGAGUUCGAGCCCCGCAUCAGGCU
rfam:Felis catus isolate Cinnamon breed Abyssinian chromosome F1, whole genome shotgun sequence.